UGGGGAAUAUUGGGCAAUGGGGGAAACCCUGACCCAGCGACGCCGCGUGGGUGAAGAAAUCCUUCGGGAUGUAAAGCCCUGUUGUAUGGGAAGAGCGGAAGACGGUACCAUACGAGGAAGCCCCGGCAAACUACGUGCCAGCAGCCGCGGUAAUACGUAGGGGGCAAGCGUUGUUCGGAAUUACUGGGCGUAAAGCGCACGCAGGCUGACUUAUAAGUCGGUAGUUUAAUGCGGAGGCUCAACUUCCGUUUAUCUAUCGAUACUGUAAGACUAGAGUAUGUGAGAGGGAAGCGGAAUUCCCGGUGUAGCGGUGAAAUGCGUAGAUAUCGGAGGAACACCAGUGGCGAAGGCGGCUUCCUGGCACAAUACUGACGCUCAUGUGCGAAAGCUAGGGCAGCGAACGG
rnacentral:rRNA from 1 species